UUAACCAUUGUUCCUUCCUUUCCAUGUGGAUGUCUACAAACCUCCAGGCAGAUGCCCCGGUAAGAAACCCACUGGCAGAGAAGAAAGCGAAAGCCCCUUCCAUGUGUCGUCUUCUGGAACACUGCAGAACAAGCAUUUGGCAUAAAUCACUCCAAAUUCAUCAAUUCUGGCGUACCAUCAAAGAAGAAGAAAGAUUUCUAAUGGGAUGUUUUACCUCUAGAUGCAUGACUGAAUCAUGUGGUUGCCCACUGACAUCUGACGUCAUAUUGAUUCAAGUCUGCUUGGCUCACAUCAGAGGAUUCUCAAAGGCUUUGCUGAUAGUCCCUUCCAAACGUGUUAUUGUAUCUCAAGCUGUAGAUGAAUUACCUUGAAAAGGUGAGUGCAUGCUUCUCUGAACUGAACUCAUUGCUCCCUAGGGCCUUCUGUUUCUAGAAACAUAGAUACAUUUUUAAUCUCUCUCACUUGCAUACAAAGAUGGCAGGGGAUUGCUCCUUGCCAAUGGACUGGGUGUUUUAACCCAAUGGAAAGAUUGCAAAUUCCUAGGAAUAGCCAAACUGCUGCUUUUCCCUCCUGAGCCCAAGGAUCUUUGGUUCACAUCUGUGGCCGUUACUUGCAGAAUUGGACACUGUCUGCUGCUUUGAACUUGCUGCCAGUUGGCCCGAGGCUCAGAGCUCUGAGCAUCCCCAGAGGCAGUGGUAUGUGUGGGGAGGGACUGGGCCCUUUGGUUUUUCCCAGGCAUCUGCUGGAGGAGAUUCAAGG